rnacentral:lncRNA from 1 species
AUUUGAGGGAUUAUGCAUCGACAAUACAGAAUUUUGGUACAAUAAUGAAUCUGAGAUGGUGAAAGUUAAAUAGAUUAAGAAAGUUAAAGAUCUCAUGAGAUGACGGUUCGAAAAAUAAUUGGUCGAAACAUUGGACAGAAUCUUAUAAGAAGCGUUCAGUGUAUAUGAUUUGAAGUGUAUUUUGAAAAUAGAGAAAUUAAUAUUGUGGGGGAAAAUUAAUUUGACAAAAACAAAUUUUUAUUUGC